GACGACGCUGGCGGCGUGGAUUAGGCAUGCAAGUCGAACGGUAUCAUCCUUUCGGGGGUGAGAGAGUGGCGAACUGGUGAGUAACACGUAGGUUAUCUACCCUCAAGACGGGGGACAACCCAGGGAAACUUGGGCUAAUACCGGAUGUGAGCAACUUUUAGUUGUUUGAAAGGUGGCGUAAGCUGCCGCUUGGGGAUGAGCCUGCGUCCUAUUAGUUAGUUGGUGAGGUAACGGCUUACCAAGGCGAUGAUAGGUAGGCGGCCUUAACGGGUGGUCGCCCACACUGGGAUUGAGAUACGGCCCAGACUCCUACGGGAGGCAGCAGUCGAGAAUAGUCUACAAUGGACGGAAGUCUGAUAGUGCGACGCCGCGUGAACGAAGAAUCCCUUCGGGGUGUAAAGUUCUUUUAUACGUGAGCAGUGUCCUUUAUAUUAAUAGUAUAAGGGGGGAGAUAUUAGCGUAUGAAUAAGCAACGGCUAACUCCGUG
rnacentral:rRNA from 1 species